UGAGAGGAGGGACAGAGAGAGAGAGGGAUGAGAGGAGGGACAGAGAGAGAGAGGGAUGAGAGGAGGGACAGAGAGAGCGGGGUGAGAGGAGGGUCAGAGAGAGAGGGAUGAGAGGAGGGACUGAGAGAGCGGGGUGAGAGGAGGGUCAGAGAGAGAGGGAUGAGAGGAGGGACAGAGAGAGAGGGGUGAGAGGAGGGACAGAGAGAGAGGGAUGAGAGGAGGGACUGAGAGAGCGGGGUGAGAGGAGGGUCAGAGAGAGAGGGAUGAGAGGAGGGACAGAGAGAGCGGGGUGAGAGGAGGGUCAGAGAGAGAGGGAUGAGAGGAGGGACUGAGAGAGAGGGGUGAGAGGAGGGACAGAGAGAGAGAGGGAUGAGAGGAGGGACAGAGAGAGAGAGGGAUGAGAGGAGGGACAGAGAGAGAGGGGUGAGAGGAGGGACAGAGAGAGAGAGGGGUGAGAGGAGGGACAUAGAGAGAGAGGGGUGAGAGGAGGGACAGAGAGAGAGAGGGGUGAGAGGAGGGACAUAGAGAGAGAGGGAUGAGAGGAGGGACAGAGAGAGAGCGGUGAGAGGAGGGACAGAGAGAGCGGGGUGAGAGGGGGGUCAGAGAGAGAGGGGUGAGAGGAGGGACAGAGAGAGAGGGGUGAGAGGAGGGACAGAGAGAGAGGGAUGAGAGGAGGGACAGAGAGAGAGGGAUGAGAGGAGGGACAGAGAGAGAGAGAGAGAGAGAGAGAGAGAGAUGAGAGGAGGGACAGAGAGAGAGGCCUGAGAGAGACAGCUGAGAUCAAAAGGAUGAGAUGGAGAGAAAGGGCUGUAAAAGAGCCAGAUUGACACGAGUCGAUAAGUGAAAACUACAUCCCCCACACUCACCUGAAGUCAUUCUGGCCUUCUCUGAGCUCUUUUCUCCUUCCUCCUCUCUCUUCUGUAGGCUGUGUGUGUGUUUCCUAAUGGGUACCAUGCCCUGCCCACCCUUCUCCUGGGGGUGCCGGUCUGCCAGUGCCAGGACUGGGGGUGAACAUCGCCAACCCUCACCCUCUCUGGCACCAUCUCUAGCCCCCUCCCAGGUCUCCUGCCCUGGAUACAGGCUCUCUCUCUGGCCCCCACACCUCUGGAGGACUGGGACUCUGUUGUUCCCAUAGUCCUGCCUUCCACCUAGACCAGGGAGGAAGAUAAAGAGAGGAG
ensembl:lncRNA